AAAGGUAAGUUUGGAAUUCUCAUUGUGCAUAAGAUUGACUAUACUUUCUUUUUCUUUCAGUUUGGGCUGAAAAAUGUCCACAUCCAGAGCUGAGGGAUGAUUGUCAUCUAGUCUCCAGAUCCAAGCCUGAAACACAGCAAUCUCAAACAGUUUGGGCUGAAAAAUGUCCACACCCAGAGCAGAGGGAUUAUUCUCAUCGAAUUUCCAAACCCAAGUCUGAAACACAGCAAUCUCAA